UACGAAGGGGGCUAGCGUUGUUCGGAAUUACUGGGCGUAAAGCGCACGUAGGCGGAUUGUUAAGUGAGGGGUGAAAUCCCAGGGCUCAACCCUGGAACUGCCUCUCAUACUGGCAAUCUCGAGUCCGGGAGAGGUGAGUGGAACUGCGAGUGUAGAGGUGAAAUUCGUAGAUAUUCGCAAGAACACCAGUGGCGAAGGCGGCUCACUGGCCCGGUACUGACGCUGAGGUGCGAAAGCGUGGGGAGCAAACAGG
rnacentral:rRNA from 1 species